AUUGUUCCGUAACACUUCGGUCUCAUAUAUAUAUCUUCCUUUCAAAUCUUGAAAACAGUAUGUUAACCUUACGGAUCAAUAUGGACAUUAACAAAUACAAGUUCGGCGUUUUCUGCCUUACUUUGAUGCUGCACUUUUAUGUGUCUGUAACUGCAACCAGAAAAGCCAGACUGAGAGAAAUAAGUACAGCGGCGACGGAAUGACCUUGACUUGGAGCAGUUGGAACAGGUUGUUGCGAACAAUGUAUCUUUUACCAUUGCUUUAACUGAAGUUAUGUCCACUGCAAUUCCAAUCAACGUUAAGGAAACGUUUCCUUUUACUUCAGUUUUACCGAAGCAAAGGCCGAUGUAGAAUGUAGUGGCAACUGUCUAGAAACGGACGACGAGAAGCUGGCAUGUGACCUAGUUACACAUACAUGUUUGCAUGGUUGUAAAGAUGGCUUCGGUGGAUCAGACUGCUCCCUAGAAUGUUGCUUCAGUUGCAAGACGUGUACAGCAAAUGAAAGCAUGUCAGUGGUUUGUAUUGAAUGCAUAGGUGAUUUCUUCCUUGAUAGAGGCAUGUGCAUGCCAUGUAGCAGAUCAUGUGCAAAUGGUACAUGUAGAGCUAGUGACGGAUAUUGUGAGCUUGGUUGUCAAGCUGGUUACUAUGGAAACACAUGUGCAGAAAAAUGUAGCAACAAUUGCAAAGACAGAAUAUGCAGAGCUGAUAAUGGUACAUGUAUCAGUGGAUGUUCACUAUCAGUUUUACAUGGACCGCACUGUUCAAAGGCCUGUAAUCAAGAUUGUAUAAACAGAGAAUGUGACCAAAAUGGUGUUUGUGUACGCGGUUGUUACAAUCACGCAUGGAAACCUGAUUGCAGUAUGAGAUGUAGUGGCUACUGUAUGGAGCCGCCUGACCACUAUACACGUGUUUGUGAUCUGACUUCUGGUCAGUGUUUAUACGGAUGCGUCAACGGCACAUAUUGGGGCGAAAAUUGUACAAGUAUUUGCAACACAGAAUGCCAAGGUCAGAAAUGUGACUUCAAGAGUGGAGAAUGUACACAUGGUUGCACUGAAGGAUAUAAAGGACGUAACUGUACAGAAAAAAUUUCAGAAGAUUCUGGUCUUGCCGCUUGGAAAAUUGCUUUGAUAGUCAUUGGAAUUGUCGUCGGAUUAGCCAUCCUGAUUUGCCUCAUUGUAUGGUGCAUGUGUGGUAUGAGACAACAGUGAUGUGUUUAUUCUAGAAAAAAUGCAUAUUUGAUACGUUCUUGUCAGAUAUUGUCCUUUCUGCCCAAACGUUAUUGUCCGUUUUGAACAGAAGAAAUGAAACUUGAACAUUGAUCCUUUACGAGUGGCGCAAAGAACAAUUCUGAAGCUCUCAAAGAGCAGCCAGUGUAGAAUAAGACAAUGUUUUAGCAUUCAUUCUAAAAAGUGUCAUAUUUCAAUAUUUUUAAUUCUUUAUAGCAGAAAACUCAUACAGUCGAGCUUAUUUCUUGGAAUCAAAGAACAUUUUCUGUAUUGUAUAAAGCAUUUGUAUAAGACUGGACAGCACGUCUCUGCAAAUUUCUUGGUAGAAUCAACUUUUCUGUUAGUGUUACUUCACGUACAAGCAUUCACUCUACGAAGUACAAUGAAGCAUUCUUCAUGUAAUCUAGAUUAACCUCAGAACAUAUUACAUAGCACAGUUUUCUGAACAGAAUCAGUCUUUGUACAACAAUACCUUGAACAAGUUACUGAAGAUAUACAAACCGAAUCUAAAUAGA